UACGAAGGGUGCAAACGUUGCUCGGAAUCAUUGGGCGUAAAGCGCACGUAGGCGGCUUCGCAAGUCGGAUGUGAAAUCCCACGGCUCAACCAUGGACGUGCAUCCGAAACUGCGGGGCUUGAGUACUGAAGAGGAUCGCGGAAUUCCCGGUGUAGAGGUGAAAUUCGUAGAUAUCGGGAGGAACACCAGUGGCGAAGGCGGCGAUCUGGGCAGAUACUGACGCUGAGGUGCGAAAGCGUGGGGAGCAAACAGGAUUAGAAACCCCAGUAGUCC
rnacentral:rRNA from 1 species